rnacentral:lncRNA from 1 species
GAUGGAGGAGGGCUCAAGCUCACCACACUAUGAAAGCCAAGCUUCCAAGGCUAGACGGUCUAGCCUAUGAUGAGGAGCGUCUAGACUCAAAGAGGAGCGUCUAGCCUAUGAUAAGGAGCGUCUAGGCCAUGAUGAGGAGCGGCUACAUAAGGAGCAUCAAGGAAGAGUCCUAGACCGUAUAGCUUCACAUACACAUGGGACAAGCUACGGUUGAGAAGAGAAGGCCUUGUGCAAGUUACAUGGAGGCCCAUUAGGGGUGCUUAGUAAUUAGAGUAGUGUAGAAAGCAUA